UUGAACUUCUCAGGAACAAACA
rnacentral:miRNA from 1 species